GCCCUCGCACUCCCUCUCUCCCCGACCACACGCUCUUUCCCGGCCAACACUCUCUCCCCGACGACCACAAGGCCCCCGACGACCACUCGCUCCUCCCCGCCCUAGAUCCCUCGCCGCCGCCCUCUCCCUCUCGUCGGUGUCUUCCUCACCGCAGCCUUGCUCCUCACCACCCCUGAAACUAGCAACAUGUCUCCCCCUCAUUGGUUAAAGGUGAAAUUUUUACCAGCCGGGGUGCUCGAUCUGUGGGCGGCGGUGCUCGAUCUGUGCUGGAGCAGCGGGAGGAGGAGGGCAGUGCUGGACUGGAGCAGCGGGAGGAGGGGGUGGUGCCGGACGCUCUUACUUUGUGUAGUCCUCUCUGCUCUCGUCCUGUCGUCGCCGCCGAGGAAGACGGAGAGCCCGGCGGAGGGAGGAGCGCCAUGGCCGGUUCUGACCUCCUCCGUCUAGAUCCAGCUCCAGCAAUCAUCCCCUCUUGUUGCUUGCUCUCUCAACUACAAGACUGAAGAAGAGAACAUGGGGAGCAGCAGUUGCCCUCUGCUCUGCUCUUAUGCGAAUGCUCUACUGCAGGACCGUGGCAGCGAUGCUCGCCGAGGCGCUGGGCUGUGGCUUCGCCGAGGCGGACGACAACCACUCCCUUGCAAACAAAGGUGAGCAUUCGGGAAAAGAACACUUGGCUGAACUUCAGGAAAAGGAUGCACCGAAUCUUAGUAAGCGGAUACUCAUAGCCGAAAUCUUUUGGAUGCACAUACAGUUUGUCUCGCAACUUAAAUAAUGACAGUAAAUAAACUCUUGAUUGCACUGACCAGUAAUUGAAACUAAAUUACACCUUUUCAGUUAAUUUGAAUUAACUGAAACCUUUUGUACUCCCAUGAUCAGUGUGUUACUUUACAGUAAUUCACAACGAAUUUGUAA